rnacentral:sRNA from 1 species
GCUUUGGAUUAAUAAAGUGAACGUGAGUAUCAAUUCCACCUGCCGUAACAAUUAAUCCUUCACCUGCUAUAACCUCUGUUCCUACUCCAAUGAUAAAAUCAACACCAUCCAUAAUAAGCGGAUUUCCAGACUUACCAAUAGCUGCGAUUUUACCAUCACGAAUACCAAUAUCUGCUUUAUAAAUACCUGUGUAAUCUAAAAUGAUUGCAUUUACAAUAACAACAUCCAUUACAAGUGGAUUUUCUCUUGUUUCUAAUGAAUUUUGUCCCAUACCAUCACG